rnacentral:rRNA from 1 species
AGAGCGAACGCUGGCGGCAGGCCUAACACAUGCAAGUCGAGCGCCCGUAGCAAUACGGGAGCGGCAGACGGGAGAGUAACACGUGGGAACGUACCCUUCAGUUCGGAACAACCCAGGGAAACUUGGGCUAAUACCGGAUACGUCCGUAAGGAGAAAGAUUUAUCGCUGAAGGAUCGGCCCGCGUCUGAUUAGCUAGUUGGUGAGGUAACGGCUCACCAAGGCGACGAUCAGUAGCUGGUCUGAGAGGAUGAUCAGCCUCACUGGGACUGAGACACGGCCCAGACUCCUACGGGAGGCAGCAGUGGGGAAUAUUGGACAAUGGGCGCAAGCCUGAUCCAGCCAUGCCGCGUGGAUGAUGAAGGCCCUAGGUUGUAAAGUCCUUUCGACGGGAAGAUAAUGACGGUACCCGUAGAAGAAGCCCGGCUAACUUCGUGCCAGCAGCCGC